rnacentral:rRNA from 1 species
AACGAACGCUGGCGGCAGGCUUAACACAUGCAAGUCGAGCGCCCCGCAAGGGGAGCGGCAGCCGGGUGAGUAACGCUUGGGAACAUACCCAACCCUACGUAAUAACCCAGGGAAACUUGGACUAAUACCGUAUACGCCCUUUUGUGGAAAGAUUUAUCGUGGAUGGAUUGGCCCACGUUGGAUUAGCUAGUUGGUGGGGUAAAGGCCUACCAAGGCGACGAUCCAUAGCUGGUCUGAGAGGAUGAUCAGCCACAUUGGGACUGAGACACGGCCCAAACUCCUACGGGAGGCAGCAGUGGGGAAUAUUGGACAAUGGGCGCAAGCCUGAUCCAGCCAUGCCGCGUGAGUGAUGAAGGCCUUAGGGUUGUAAAGCUCUUUCACCGAUGAAGAUAAUGACGGUAGUCGGAGAAGAAGCCCCGGCUAACUUCGUG